rnacentral:lncRNA from 1 species
GUAAAUGACUUGACCCAUUAUUAAUUUUCCAGGAACAAAUAAUUACCUGUGGGUAUAUGUAGAAGCUGCUUCACUCAUCUUUCUUUCAUUAUAUUAAAAUAAAAAAUUAUCUAAAAAUCCCUUAAAUUUAUUGUCAUCAAAUAUGCAUACACAGUUUGUUGUAGGAGAAUCAUCUUCUUCUUCCAACUUGUAUUAUGAUGUAUUUCUUAGUUUCAGAGGUGAAGAUACUCGCAAAACCUUCACCGGUCAUCUUUACACCCAAUUGUGUCAAGUCGGAGUUAAUACCUUCAUAGAUGAUGAGGAAUUAAGAAAGGGAGACGCCAUUUCAACCGAACUUGAGAAAGCAAUUGAACAAUCAAGGGUUGCCAUUGUUGUUUUCUCCAUAAAUUAUGCUUCCUCUAGUUGGUGUCUUGAUGAACUCGUUAAAAUUCUCGAUUGCAGAGAGAGGUUAAAUCAGGUAGUUUUGCCUAUUUUUUAUGAUGUUGAUCCUUCUCAAGUGCGAAAGCAAAAAGGGUCCUUUGGCAAAGCUUUGGCAGAACACAAGGAACCAUUGGUUGGAGCUGAAAGAAUGGAAAAGUGGAAAGCAGCACUCACUGAAGCUGCGAGUUUAUCUGGAUGGGAUCUGCAAAACAUGGCUGAUGGGUAAGACUUCUUAAUUCAACUAUAGAAUUUUGAAUUUAAGCGUUUGUCUAAGCAUAUAAGCUGGUUAAUUUUGGAACAUUGCAAAGUCUUUCUAUAUUUCUUAAAUUACAUAUCAAAUCAAACUACAUCCGCAGAGCAGUAUUAAUGGACAAAUUUCCAUUCUCUAUCCUCGAGUUCUGUGUUAUAUGUUAGCUAUUGAUUUCCAUUCUAUCCAGGGAGAACUAGUUUUAACUUCUGAUAUUGCUAAAAAAACUGUAGGCAUGAAUCAAAAUUUAUCGGAAGUAUUAUAAAACAAGUUCUGCAAGAGGUCAACCAGACACCUCUAGAUGUUGCUCAUUACCCAAUUGGAUUAGAUUCUUCUAUCCAACAUAUAGAGUUGUUACUGCAAAGUGGAUGUGAGCAUGAAGUUCGUAUGGUUGGUAUAUGUGGCGUUGGUGGAAUUGGAAAAACAACUCUGGCGAAAGCUAUAUACAAUCGAUUAUUUCGACAGUUUGGUGGUUGUUGUUGCUUUCUAUCAGACAUUAGAUCACAAGCUGAAGAAUCGGGUCUAAUCAAGCUACAAGAGAAACUACUUUGUCAAAUUCUCAAAACUAAGGAAUUCAAAGUUGAUAGUGUUGCUGAAGGUGUCAAUCUAAUCAAAGCAAGACUUGGGUCAAAGAAGGUUCUAAUUGUUCUUGAUGACGUGGAUCAUAGAAGCCAAUUAGAAUCCUUGACAAGAGAAAGAAGUUGGUUUGGCUCGGGUAGUGUAAUAAUUAUUACAACCCGAGAUGAGCAUUUGCUACAUGGGCUUACAACAAGUGAGAUACACCGGGCCAAACUUUUAAAUGAAAAUGAAUCUCAACAACUUUUUUCUUGUCAUUCUUUUAACAGUCUUUCUCCACCACAAGAAUAUGUUGAACUGGCACAAGACAUAAUAAAAUAUUCAGGUGGGCUACCAUUAGCUCUUGUGACAUUGGGGUCACAUCUGCAAGGGAGAUCCGUUGAAGAAUGGAGAAAUGAGUUCAAGAAACUAAAAGCAAUUCCUCAUUAUGAUAUUCAAAAGAUUCUCCAGAUAAGCUUUGAUGGACUUGAUGAUAAUACUCAAAGUGUUUUCCUUGAUAUCGCGUGUGCCUUCCAUGGAUUUUUUGAGGAUGAAGUUACUAGUACAUUAAAUGCGUGUGGUUUUUAUUCUGAAAGUGCUAUUUCAACCUUAGUCCAAAGGAACUUGCUCCAAAGGGAUUGGCAUAAUUUAGCGAUGCAUGAUCUUGUGCGGGAUAUGGGAAGAGAAAUCGUUCGCAGGGAAUCACCUCGAGACUCUGGAAAACGGAGUAGAUUGUUCAACCCUCAAGAAGUCUGUGACGUUCUACAAGGAAAUAAAGUCAGUAAAUUUCAUAAUCUUUAUCUUGGUUAAUACUUUUUUUUGUCUUUUUAUUUUACUUAAUUUGAUAUAAUUUGCUUAUAAUUUAUGUGUCACCACAAGAAUUCAAUUCAUUUGUGCUUAGUUCGUUCUGGCUUGUAAAUUAUCUCUAGUUGUUUUUACCACUCUGUACUUGAAAUAAACAUUUACUAAAGUCUAAACACUCAAACUAUCAAAGACAAAAUUAUCAAAUAAAAUUUACUUAUUCAGUAAUUAUAUAAAUCGGUUUGCUGAAAGAUAUUUCUUGUUAAAUAUCCUUUAGUUGGAUAUAUUGUGUAGAUUUAUUUUUAUUGGUAGAUAAUUUGUUCUCUUUGUUUGACCUUCAAUUUGUAUAAAGCAUUUCUCUCUCUUAAUUUCUCUUAGUUAACAUGGUCUUAUAGUACUUUUGUUUUUACUUAACUACAGGGUUCUGAAAAUGUAGAAGUACUGAUGGUAGAACGACAUGCAUUAAAGGGUGUGAAGCUGAGCACCAAAGCAUUUCAGAAAAUGAUAAAUCUUAGGGUGCUUAAAAUCGACGACUUACAUAUUAGUGGAGAUUUUGAGCUAUUGUCCAAGGAGCUCAGAUGGUUGUCUUGGGAAGGAUGUCCUUUAAAAUGUAUACCAUCAAAUUUUCCAUCUGACCAACUUGUAUUUCUGAAUAUGAAAGGGAGCAAUAUCCAAGAACUUGGUUUGAAUUUGCAGGUUCGUUACUCAAUUCUGCAAUUUCAUGUGUACUGUUAUAUCGCAACUAAGAGAAAGAAAAUCUUAGUUGACACUAUAUUUUGUUUAUUUUAGUAUUGUAGAAAUUUGAAGAAGCUGGAUCUCUCUGAUUGCAAGCACCUCAGAAAUACUCCAAACUUCAGCGGUUUACGAAGUCUCGAGACUUUGUGGCUUGAGAAUUGCUCAAGUCUAAAGGAGAUCCAUCCAUCAAUAGGAAAUUUGGACAGACUAACUGCUCUUCAUUUGUAUGGUUGCAAAAAGAUUACGGAUCUUCCAAGUAGCACAUGCCAGCUAAAAUCCCUUGAAGACUUGGACAUUACUUACUGCUCAUCUUUACAAACACUGCCAGCUGACAUUGGAGAUAUGCAAAGCCUAAGACAUCUCUAUGCACAAGAUACUGAUAUAAAACAAUUGCCCGGAUCUGUUAAAAUGCUAAGAAAUCUUACAGAUUUGCAAGUGGGAGGUCAAAAUUUAAAGGCCAAAAGGAGAGUUUAUCAAAGAAGAUCCCACCAUAUAGAAUCCUUGCCAAUUUCUAUUUCUCGUUUAAUCCUUCGAUAUUGUGAUUUCUCCGAGGCUGAUAUUCCUAGGGAUAUUGGGACUUUAUCCAACUUACAUGAUUUAGAUUUGAGCGGCAACAGUUUCCUCUAUCUACCCUUUGAUUUCUCCAAGUUACCAUGGUUGAAGUCCUUGCGUUUGAAUGAUUGUAUGAAUCUUCAAACACUCCCGUCAAUAUCAAAUUUAGAGUACCUUUAUAUUCUUGAACUUAGGAAUUGCCAAAAGUUGGUCAAGAUUACAGGGUUGGACAACCUCCCUUCAAUACAAGAGAUCGACACUCUUAAUUGUACUUCUCUGCAGAAUCCAUUCAAUGAUGGCUUCUUUAGUGCCCAUGCUCUAUCAAUUUCAUCUAGAAAAUAUGCAAUGUUUCAGGUAAGUCCCUUUAUUUUUGUGUGUCUCGUAUCACAUUAUUAAUUAAUGUUCUAAUUGUGUCUUAAUUUGUCUGAUGAAGCUGCGGUUACACAUUUAUCUCCAAAGCAAUGAGAUUCCAGAUUGGUGCAGCAAUCAAGUAACAGCUCCAUCUAUCUGUUUCACUAUUCCCUCCGUAUUUAAGAAAAAGUCGUUAGGAAUGAUUCUCUGGUUUGUUUGCGACUCUAAGAUUUUAUCCCAGUUUGGACACUUCCUUGUUUCCGUAUCCAAUAAAAAGCCUUUAGUUUUUUACUGGACUAGGUAUAUUACUACACCCGAAUCACACGGAGAAGUAUCAUGCGUAUAUUACAUAUCUUGCUUAACUAGUCAUUAUUCUGGCCUGAUGAUCAAAGGCGGGGAAAAGAUAACAGUCGAGGAGGGCCCUGACAAAGGUAGAGUAAAGAAGAUAGGGGUACAUCUGUUAUACUUAGACAAACAUGGUAAUGUUACAUCUUCCCCACCAAUCCUUGAAGAAAAUCAUUCGCAUUCUCAGAUAAUGAACAGAGAGAGUCUCAGUGGAAAUGAACUCAAAAAGAGUGUCAAACAGAGGAUAUCAGCUCAAUCCUUGAAGAACAUCAUCACUCGCUUCAAAUCUUAGUUGAAUCAAAAAUAACUUGCUCCAGUUUCUUAUCAACAUGCAAUAUUCAAAAUGCUCAUCCAACUACAAUCUGAUUUUUUUAAAAAGUAUUUUUCAUCCGACAGAUGCUAAAUACUCAUUGCAAGUUGUCAUCCAAUGAAAAUUUUGCUAGUGUGUACAUUUUAUAUCUUACUCAAAUGAUGGACCUUUUUAUGGCCUGAAGAUUGAAGGCGGGGAAAAGAUAACAGUCAAGGAGGGCGCUGACGAAGGUAUAGUUUUUGCAGGCAGUUGUGGAUCAUUCUUAUACUGAUCUCUACCCAAAAAGACUUUCAUCAAACUACUCCUCUUUGAUAAAAGAUCAAAGUUUCUGUGUUCGGUAGCAAGGAAAAUAUGUUCCAUGAAAACGUUUUUUUGGAAAAUGUUUAUUCUAAAAGUAUUUGUAUAUAUAACACUAAGUGGAAAUGUACUUUUCUGCAGAAUCCAUUCAAUGAAUGCAUCUUUAGUGCCACUGCUCUAUCAAUUCCAUCUGGAAAAUAUCCAAUACAUGAGGGUAGUCCCCUCUCUCUCUCUCUCGUAUCACAUUAACAAUUAAUGAUCUAAUUGUAUUUUAAUUUGUCUGAUGAAGCAGAUUUUAUGAAUUUGUGUCGAAUGCAAUGAGAUUCCAGAUGGGUGCAGCAAUAAAGUAACAGCUCCAUAUAUCUGUUUCACUAUGCCCACAAUACAUAAUAAUAAGUUGUUAAGAAUGGUUCUCUAGUCUGUUGGCGACUUUGAGGCUUUAUCCUAUUUUGGGAACUUCCUUGUUACUGUUGCCCAUAAAAAGCCUUUAGUUAUGGAGUGGUUUGGGUGUAGGAAAAUACCCGAAUUACACGAAGAAAUAGCAUGUGUAUUUGAUGUAUCUUGCUUACGUAGACCUUUCGAUGGCCUGAUGCUCAAAGGUGGGGAAGAGAUAACAGUCGAGGAGGGCCCUUACAAAGGUGUAGUAAAAAAGAUAGGUAUCCAUCUGUUAUACUUAGACCAACACGGUAAUGUUACAUCUUUCCCCAUUUCCAGAAAAACUUCAGCAGGGCAUAAAAGAGCAAAGUUCUGAGUCAAGCUUGGGAAUGAGUGAUGACUGAAUCUGUGGUUUCGAGAUUGCUCAAGUCUGAGACUUCUAUUUCGAGAUUUUCUUUUCUAAGAAGAGCAUGCCACUUACAAUCCUUGUCAUCGACUUCUAUUUCGUGUUUGUCUGAGACUGAUUUUCCUAAGUUUAUUGGGAGUUUAUAUACUGCAUAGAAGUUUUAGAUUUGAGCAGUAACAAUUUUCACUGAGGUUCUUGCUUUUGAAUGACAAUGAGAGUCUUCAAACACUUCCAUCAGUUGCUUCUGUAUAAAAUUUUGUUUUCCAUUGUAUACUGCUAGUUUUUUGAGCUGCACUAAAACUUAGUAAAAAGAGAUGAAUCUGUAUAGUGAAUAUACUUCUUAUAAAUGUUUGUGGUGAUUUAUGGUCAUUAUUUGCAAAUUUCAUAUACUCAUCAGUUCCUAUUUACUUGUCAAAUAUUUUCUAAUUUGAUUUCCCUUUUUAGUUCGUCAUUUUUUUUACAAAUGAAGGAAGAACAAUUAUUUUCUUCCUAUUAUACGCUUAAUUUAUUAACAUUGAAUUAAUGUCUUUGAAAAAUGUAGUAAGUAAAUAUGUUUAAGAUUCUAUCAAUUAAUAGGGUAAAAUAGUAAACUUACUAUACCAAUCAUUGUUUUCUUUAACAGGUGUGUCAAGUCAAAAUUUAACAAGUAAAAAGGGACGAAAAGAGUAUAUAUACUUUGUGAAUUGAGAUUUAUGUCAAUGCUUUGACUGGUUCUUGAGAUGUUAAAUAAUUCCAAAUAAUAUUAAUUUGAUUUUCAUGACCAAACACCUACUUAGCUUGUUGAUCUCAAUUACGUAAAAUCUCUAUAAAAGAUAACCAAAGAAUGUCUCGAAGUCAACUACUGGUCAGACUAUUCAAAAAGAACUUAUAUUAUAAGAAAAUAUUCAAAAAGGAGAAAAAAAAAGUGAAGGAGAAGAAAGAGGAGGUAAAUAGCGUGUAUAUUUAUGAUACGUUAAGUAAGCAAUAUAUUUGUUUAUGUAAUAAGUUAAUUGCAAAGAAUCAAUUACGAAUUUGGUUGAAAAUAGAAUUAAGUACUCUCUUCCUCUCAUAUUAGUUGAUCAUUAUAUUAAAAAUAAUUAUCUAAUAUAAAUAUUUUCUAUAUUAUCCUUGCAAUUAAUUCUUUUUAAAAGUGUUCAUAUUUGUUUAUAAAAUUCCAAAAUAUUUUUUAAAAGGGUGAAUUAAUAAAAUUAUCUUCAUAUUUAUGAUUUUUUAAGCACCAUACAAAAUGAAAAGUGAUCAAAUAAUGGGACAGAGGAAGUAUUAGAUUACUCACUCUGUGGUAUCAUAAUAUUAUCAUUUUAUUUAUUGCUAAUGAAUAUGUGUCAUCAUACUGGACAAAUUAAAAUGAACGAACGUCCCAAUAGCAAAUUAAAUUUCUUACUUGGGAUCAACAAGGAUUGUGGUGCAGUAGAAAGUACUCAUUUAUCCUUAAUCAGACUCUUGGGUUCAAGUUUCCCUUGGUAUAAAGUCCCCUUUUUUAGGGAGCGUUUUACCUCCAAUGUGGAACUUUUCAGUGCAAAUCAAAAUUUAAUCGGGUUCCAAUGUGGUACGAACAACAAGUGGAAAAUCAAAUCAAAUAAAAAAAUAAUAAUUUUUUUUCUUAUUUUUGAAGAAUCUGACACAGAUAGAGCAACAUUUUCAAAGAAUCUGAGUAAAAUACCAAACUAUGAUAAUCUUAAUAAAGGCAUAGUGGAACAUCAUGACAUAUUUGUUGUAUUUUAUUUUUAAGGGAAAAGGCUCAAAUAUGCCAUUGAACUUUCAGAAAAGGCUCAUUUAUGCCAUCCGUUAAAAGUUUGGCUCAUCUAUGCCAUUACCGUUUAAGAAAAGGCUCAUUCAUGCCAUUAUUUUUUAACGGUGGUUUUGCAGAACCAUUUUUUUAAAUGUUUGUUUAGAAUUUUGAUUUUUUAUUAUAAAAAAAAUAAUGACGUGGCCGAAUUAUAAUUGGCCACGUGUAAAAAAUGAUUUUGCAAAACCACCGUUAAAAUAUUUGUUCAUAAUUUUGUUUUUUUGUUAUAAAAAAAUAAUGACGUGGCUGAAUUAUAAUUGGUCACGUGUAAAAAAUAGUUUUGCAAAACCACCGUUAAAAUGCUUGUUCAGAAUUUUGAUUUUUUAUUAUAAAAAAAUAAUGACAUGGCCAAAUUAUAAUUGGCCACGUGUAAAAAAUGGUUUUGCAAAACCACCGUUAAAAAAUAAUGGCAUGAAUGAGCUUUUUCUUAAACGGUAAUGGCAUAGAUGAGCCAAACUUUUAACGAAUGGCAUAAAUGAGCCUUUUCUGAAAGUUCGAUGGCAUAUUUGAGCCUUUUCCCUAUUUUUAAUAAAGAUGAAGAGGAAAAGUCAGAGGUUGUGAAAUUUGUUGCAAUACUAUAUUUGUUCUGCAAUAAAUUAAUCACAAAGAUAUAGAAACGGUCCAAUUCAAUAAAUUAUUCACUUUGUGUGUAAUCGUAAUAUUGUUAUUUUAUUUAUUGUUAAUGAACGUAUAUCGUUAUAAAUGAACCGAGGGUGAGAGUAAACAAAUUAAAUUUCUUAGGACUUGGGAGGUAUCUUGCAAAAUAGUUGAUCUAAUACUAUACAGUGAACUUUCUUGGUUUCAUCCAUGAAUACUCAAGGAGAAUCAUCAUCUUCUUCUUCCCACUUGUCUUAUGAUGUAUUUCUCAGUUUUAGAGGCGAAAGAUACUCGCAAAACCUUCACCGGUCAUCUUUACACCCAAUUGUGUCAAGUCGGAGUUCAUACCUUCAUAGAUGAUGAGGAAUUAAGAAAGGGAGACGUCAUUUCAACCGAACUUGAGAAAGCAAUUGAACAAUCAAGGGUUGCCAUUGUUGUUUUCUCCAAAAAUUAUGCUUCGUCUAGUUGGUGUCUUGAUGAACUUGUUAAAAUUCUCGAUUGCAAAGAGAGGUUAAAGCAGGUAGUUUUGCCUAUUUUCUAUGAUGUUGAUCCUUCUCAAGUGCGAAAGCAAACUGGGUCCUUUGGCGAAGCUUUGGCAAAACACAAGGAACGAUCAAUUGGAGCUGAAAGAAUGGAAAAGUGGAAAGCAGCACUCACUGAAGCUGCAAAUUUAUCUGGAUG